UUCAGUUGGGAGGGGGUAAGAAAUGAUAUAAGGCAGGAAAUAUGAUAUUUAAUGUUUUUUAAAUUAACACUUACUAAGGAUAAGAUAUCUUACAACCAUGUACAAUGUGAUUAACAGAGUAAUCUAAAAAGGGUAGUUGAGAUAAGGAGUGAUUAUUAGAAAUUUUCAUACGUACAAUCAAUCAAGAGAACCCAUAAUAAAUCAACUUGAGUUGUAAUUUUGCCCUCUUGUUUAGAAAAGAUAGCAUCUCUUCUUUAAAAAAAGACUGAAAUAAAUCCUUGAAUGGAUUUUUCACAUUCAUUGGGGUGGAUGUUAUUUUUAAUUUUUUAUUGUACUGAGGAAUUUUAAUUUUUAAAGGAUAAAUUGAUCUCAGCAGAAGAGGUGGAUUUGGGAAAGUGGCAUCACACUGUACCAUCAGUUGACCUUUGACCUCGAAGUGACAUCACAAAACAUUACAUUACAAAGUGAUUGUGUCCUUGCUAAGUUCUGCCCUCCCCAAACUCCAUACUUCCCAGCUACUGCUCCAAAUACCUCUAGCAAUUUCCUGAGCCAGAGUUGACGUUAAGGGACAAAGAACUCAUGGUGGGGUAUGACCAUUUUGAAAUUUGUUAAUAGCAUCUAUUGGGGCCUCCAAACUGAGAAGAAAUCAUUUACACUCAGAUGGGAACUUUUUUUCUUUUUAACUAUUUAGACCAGUGAUGGCUAACCUUUUCGAGACCAAGUGCCCAAAUUGCAACCCAAAACCCACUUAUUUAUCGCAAAGGGCCUACAUGGCAAUAUAACCUGAGUACUGAGAUUUUAGUUUAGAAAAAAUGGUUGGCUCCGAGGCACGUGUUACUCAGGAGUAAUCUUGGUGGUACUCAGUGGC